rnacentral:tRNA from 1 species
GGACAGAUAGCUCAGUUGGUAGAGCACGGCCCGCCCUGAAAAGGCCGGUGUCGGCGGUUCGAGCCCGCCUCUGUCCA